rnacentral:rRNA from 1 species
UACGUAGGUGGCAAGCGUUGUCCGGAUUUACUGGGCGUAAAGAGCGCGCAGGCGGUCGUUUAAGUCGAAUGUGAAAGCCCCCGGCUCAACUGGGGAGGGUCAUUCGAUACUGAUCGACUUGAAGGCAGGAGAGAGAAGUGGAAUUCCCGGUGUAGUGGUGAAAUGCGUAGAUAUCGGGAGGAACACCAGUGGCGAAGGCGACUUCUUGGCCUGUUCUUGACGCUGAGGCGCGGAAAAGCUGGGGGGGAGCAAAACGGGG